rnacentral:rRNA from 1 species
UGUCCUACGGGAGGCAGCAGUGGGGAAUAUUGCACAAUGGGGGAAACCCUGAUGCAGCGACGCCGCGUGAGCGAGGAAGUACCUCGGUAUGUAAAGCUCUGUCAGCAGGGAAGAAAAUGACAGUACCUGACCAAGAAGCCCCGGCUAACUACGUGCCAGCAGCCGCGGUAAUACGGAGGAUGCGAGCGUUAUCCGGAUUUAUUGGGUUUAAAGGGUGCGCAGGCGGCACGGCAAGCCGGCGGUCAAAUCGCGGGGCUCAACCCCGCCCAGCCGUCGGAACUGCCGGGCUAGAGUGGGCGAGAAGG